CAGCCGCCGCGGUAAUACGUAGGGGGCAAGCGUUGUCCGGAAUCAUUGGGCGUAAAGCGCGUGUAGGCGGCUCGAUAAGUCUGCUGUGAAAGUCCAGGGCUCAACCCUGGAAUGCCGGUGGAAACUGUCGAGCUCGAGUCCGGAAGAGGCAAGUGGAAUUCCUGGUGUAGCGGUGAAAUGCGCAGAUAUCAGGAGGAACACCAAUGGCGAAGGCAGCUUGCUGGGACGGUACUGACGCUGAGACGCGGAAGCGUGGGGAGCAAACAGGAUUAGAUAUCCGAGUAGUCCCUGUCUCUUAUAC
rnacentral:rRNA from 1 species